GUAGCAAUACUGAGUGGCAGACGGGUGAGUAUAAUGUGGGUAUCUGCCUUUUGGUUUGGAAUAACUUGGGGAAACUCGAGCUAAUACCGGAUAAGCCCUUACGGGGAAAGCUUUAUGCGCCAAAAGAUGAGCCUGCACUUGAUUAGCUUGUUGGUGAGGUAAAGGCUCACCAAGGCAACGAUCAAUAGCUGUUCUUAGAGGAAGACCAGCCACAUUGGGACUGAGACACGGCCCAGACUCCUACGGGAGGCAGCAGUAGGGAAUCUUGCACAAUGGGGGAAACCCUGAUGCAGCGAUGCCGCGUGAGUGAAGAAGGCCCUUGGGUUGUAAAACUCUUUCGUCGGGGAAGAAAAUGACUGUACCCGAAUAAGAAGGUCCGGCUAACUUCGUGCCAGCAGCCGCGGUAAUACGAAGGGAUCUAGCGUAGUUCGGAAUUACUGGGCUUAAAGAGCUCGUAGGUGGUUAAAAAAGUUGAUGGUGAAAUCCCAAGGCUUAACCUUGGAACUGCCAUCAAAACUUUUUAGCUAGAGUAUGAUAGAGGAAAGUGGAAUUUCUAGUGUAGAGGUGAAAUUCGUAGAUAUUAGAAAGAACACCAAAAGCGAAGGCAACUUUCUGGAUCAUUACUGACACUGAGGAGCGAAAGCAUGGGUAGCGAAGAGGAUUAGAUACCCUCGUAGUCCAUGCUGUAAACGAUGUGUGCUAGACGUUGGAAACUUAGUUUUCAGUGUCGCAGCGAAAGCAUUAAGCACACCGCCUGGGGAGUACGACCGCAAGGUUAAAACUCAAAUGAAUUGACGGGGACCCGCACAAGCAGUGGAGCAUGUGGUUUAAUUCGAAGAUACGCGCAGAACCUUACCAACACUUGACAUGCUCGUCGCGACUCUAAGAGAUUAGAGUCUUCGGUUCGGCAGACGAACACAGUGCUGCAUGACUGUCGUCAGCUCGUGUCGUGAGAUGUGGUAGUCCCGCACGAGCGCACCCCUACUUUAGUACACAUUAGUGGCACUUUAAAGACUGCAGUGAUAGCUGAGAGCGGAUGACGUCAGUCCUCAUGGCCUUCUGGUGGGCUACCACGUGCUACAUGAUACUACAACGGGAGUAAAGAGCACUCCAGCAAUCCCAAAAGAAUCUCACUCCGAUUGAAUCUGUUACUCAAUGCGUGAACCUGGAAUGCUGUAAAUUCGGAAAUAAAUCCGCCGGGGAUCGAUAACUGGCCUGGGUGAAUAAGGACGGCUCACAUUAAUGAAGGGUAGACA
rnacentral:rRNA from 1 species